ACGAAGGUGGGCUAAUCACGGUCGGACAUCGUGAGGUUAGUGCAAUGGCAUAAGCCCGCUUAACUGCGAGAGUGACGGCUCGAGCAGGUACGAAAGUAGGUCAUAGUGAUCCGGUGGUUCUGAAUGGAAGGGCCAUCGCUCAACGGAUAAAAGGUACUCCGGGGAUAACAGGCUGAUACCGCCCAAGAGUUCAUAUCGACGGCGGUGUUUGGCACCUCGAUGUCGGCUCAUCACAUCCUGGGGCUGAAGUCGGUCCCAAGGGUAUGGCUGUUCGCCAUUUAAAGUGGUACGCGAGCUGGGUUUAGAACGUCGUGAGACAGUUCGGUCCCUAUCUGCCGUGGGCGUUGGAUGAUUGAGGGGAGCUGCUCCUAGUACGAGAGGACCGGAGUGGACGAACCGCUGGUGUUCGGGUUGUGUCGCCAGACGCAUUGCCCGGUAGCUAAGUUCGGCACAGAUAAGCGCUGAAAGCAUCUAAGCGCGAAGCUGGCCCCGAGAUGAGUCAUCCCUAGAGCNAGACAGUUCGGUCCCUAUCUGCCGUGGGCGUUGGAUGAUUGAGGGGAGCUGCUCCUAGUACGAGAGGACCGGAGUGGACGAACCGCUGGUGUUCGGGUUGUGUCGCCAGACGCAUUGCCCGGUAGCUAAGUUCGGCACAGAUAAGCGCUGAAAGCAUCUAAGCGCGAAGCUGGCCCCGAGAUGAGUCAUCCCUAGAGCYUCGAGCUCUCUAAAGGGUUGUUCUAGACKAGAACGUUGAUAGGCAGGGUGUGUAAGCGCUGUGAGGCGUUGAGCUAACCUGUACUAAUGGCCCGUGAGGCUUAACCAUACAACACCCAAGGGGUUU
rnacentral:rRNA from 1 species